rnacentral:misc_RNA from 1 species
CGCGGGUUCGAGCCCCGUCUCUCGCGCCUUUUGGCAUGCCUUCUAGCCUUGGCCCGAAGGGGCAAACCCGGAUCUGCGAGAUCCGGGCCGAUGCAGGCAUGCCGGAGGAAGCCUGCUGCGGCCAACGGCGACCACAUGAUUUGAUCACCUGCGACUGGCCGUCGUCCGGCAAACAUCAUUCACAUUCACUAGUCUGGAUAGACAGUGAACUGCGUGUUUUCUGACAUCGUAAAGAGGAGAUCGAUCCGAGUUGGGUCGUGCAGCACAUUGUUGCGCGGAUCCUUCAUUAUCUCCGGAUCAUUUUCGGCGCUCGCUUUCAGCCGUGAGGCUGAACGCGAGUUGUAAAAUGAUCCUUUUAGCGAAGCUUGACCGCCUCGCUAUCGGAACGAUCUUACGAAGCAAGCUGGUCUUUCUAGUCAAUGUCCGGCUGUGAGAAUAGCGCUCGUCGAGGGCGCGUGCCGCAAGGCGGUUCUUACAGACAGCAUUCUGCCGAGUGUGUGGACAUUGAUAAUGAGAGCAAUCAAGUGCCUUAAGGGUGUUCGGUGGAUGCCUUGGCGCUGAGAGGCGAUGAAGGACGUGCUACGCUGCGAUAAGCCGUGGGGAGCUGCGAAGAAGCUUUGAUCCGCGGAUUUCCGAAUGGGG